AAUGAACGCUGGCGGCAGGCCUAACACAUGCAAGUCGAGCGAGCGGCGGACGGGUGAGUAAUGUGUGGGGAUCUGCUCGAUAGAGGGGGAUAACUACUGGAAACGGUGGCUAAUACCGCAUACUAUCGGCUGAACCCAUGUGGGAUUAGCUAGUAGGUGGGGUAAAGGCUCACCUAGGCCACGAUCUCUAGCUGGUCGGAGAGGAUGAUCAGCCACACUGGAACUGAGACACGGCCCAGACUCCUACGGGAGGCAGCAGUGGGGAAUAUUGCACAAUGGGCGCAAGCCUGAUGCAGCCAUGCCGCGUGUAUGAAGAAGGCCUUAGGGUUGUAAAGUACUUUCAGCGGGGAAGCGUUACCCGCAGAAGAAGCACCGGCUAACUCCGUGCCAGCAGCCGCAGUAAUAC
rnacentral:rRNA from 1 species